GACGAACGCUGGCGGCGUGCCUAAUACAUGCAAGUAGAACGCACAGUUUAUACCGUAGCUUGCUACACCAUAGACUGUGAGUUGCGAACGGGUGAGUAACGCGUAGGUAACCUGCCUGGUAGCGGGGGAUAACUAUUGGAAACGAUAGCUAAUACCGCAUAAUAUUAAUUAUUGCAUGAUAAUUAAUUGAAAGGUGCAAUUGCACCACUACCAGAUGGACCUGCGUUGUAUUAGCUAGUAGGUGAGGUAACGGCUCACCUAGGCGACGAUACAUAGCCGACCUGAGAGGGUGAUCGGCCACACUGGGACUGAGACACGGCCCAGACUCCUACGGGAGGCAGCAGUAGGGAAUCUUCGGCAAUGGACGAAAGUCUGACCGAGCAACGCCGCGUGAGUGAAGAAGGUUUUCGGAUCGUAAAGCUCUGUUGUAUGAGAAGAACGGGUGUGAGAGUGGAAAGUUCACACUGUGACGGUAUCUUACCAGAAAGGGACGGCUAACUACGUG
rnacentral:rRNA from 1 species